rnacentral:lncRNA from 1 species
UUAAUAUUAAACAUAGUAGAGUAGAGGUCGCUCUACAAAUUAUUACAACAUGUCCAAAGUCUCACACGGACGGAUAUGUUAUAGUGGUCAUGGGAUAACUCUACUGCUCGUAAUAAAGAGGGCAUGUCACAUCAGAGUGAAGUGACAUGAAAAGUACUACUACGCGCCAAGCGUCAGAGUGAGGCUUUACGAUUUAUUCGUGGUGGCGGAAGCAGUGAAAUAAUACA